AUUGCAAUAAACGGCUACCUUGCCAUAACUGUGGUAAUUCUACAGCUAAUACAUGCACCAAAGCUCCGACCUUACGGGAAGAGCGCAUUUAUUCGAACAAAACCAAGCGGCUUCGGCCGUCCGCAGUUGACUCAGAAUAACUAAGCUGAUCGCAUGGUCUUGAACCGGCGACGUGUCUUUCAAGUAUCUGCCUUAUCAACUUUCGAUGGUAGUGUAUCUGACUACCAUGGUGGUGACGGGUAACGGAGGAUAAGGGUUCGACUCCGGAGAAGGGGCCUGAGAAAUGGCCACUACGUCUAAGGAUGGCAGCAGGCGCGCAAAUUACCCACUCUCAGAAUGAGGAGGUAGUGACGAGAAAUAACGAGACCGUUCUCUACGAGGCCGGUCAUCGGAAUGGGUACAAUUUAAACCCUUUAACGAGUAUCUAUGAGAGGGCAAGUCUGGUGCCAGCAGCCGCGGUAAUUCCAGCUCUCAAAAUGCAUAGAAUUAUUGCUGCGGUUAAAAAGCUCGUAGUUGGAUCUGUGCCGGUGGACCCGGUCCACUCGAAAGGGUGCGCACUGGGCUCCCCGGCUUUCUGCCGGUUUUCCCGUCGUGGCCUUAACUGGUUGCGGCGGGUGGCUGGCGAUUUUACUUUGAACAAAUCAGAGUGCUUAAAACAGGCGUUUCGCUUGAAUGUUCGUGCAUGGAAUAAUAGAAAAGGAUUUCGGUUCUAUUUUAUUGGUUUUAUAGACUGAGAUAAUGGUUAACAGAGACAAACGGGGGCAUUCGUAUUGCUGCGUGAGAGGUGAAAUUCUUGGACCGCAGCAAGACGAACUACAGCGAAAGCAUUUGCCAAGAAUGUCUUCAUUAAUCAAGAACGAAAGUCAGAGGUUCGAAAGCGAUCAGAAAAUACCGCCCAA
rnacentral:rRNA from 1 species